ACAGUUUCUUGUAGUUCUCUUAUGUUCAUUGCACAAAAAACCUCACACUUUGGCAAUUAAAAAUACACUAAUAUUAGUGGUUGAGGCAUAUUCAAGGUUGCAGGGAACACAUAUCGUCUCUAGAAAGAAGUUGCAGUUCAUUGCACCAACUUGCUCACGUCAACCGGGAAGCUUUGAGUGCGGAUAUUAUGUCAUGAGGCACAUGCAGAAAAUUAUAUCCGCAAAUAUCGUUG